rnacentral:lncRNA from 1 species
AAUAUUCCUAAUUAAACAUUAAAACAUUACCUAAUCAAUGAUUAAAGUGGAUUAAACAUAGUGUUUAAUAGGUUAUAAAUUAAAUUGACAGCUGUCAUCUGCCAAUUUCUUCUUUUUUAGGUCAAAUUAAUACGAUUUAGGGAUUUCUAGGGGAAAUUGAAGCUCCCAUCUAGGGAUAUUCUGAAAUUUCAUCUGGCAACCCUGUUAUAGUUAUCCUAAAAUCCUAACAAACAAAACAAAGUCGGGAACAAUGGAUAAAAGCCAGAAGGAGAACAAAAUUAAAAUAUGAAAGAAUAUGCAAUAAACAUUGUAUAAGUGGAAAGCCAGCCACUUUAAAAAGAUAUUCCAAACCAAAACAUGGGUUACCAAAGCAGGCAAUAAAAAGAAAAGGUGAUCUAGAAUGCAAGAAAAGAGCUGAUGAAAGAAGUAAAUGUAAAGAAAAUAAUGC